rnacentral:rRNA from 1 species
GAUGAACGCUGGCGGCGUGCCUAAUACAUGCAAGUCGAGCGAACGGACGGGAAGCUUGCUUCUCUGAUGUUAGCGGCGGACGGGUGAGUAACACGUGGAUAACCUACCUAUAAGACUGGGAUAACUUCGGGAAACCCGAGCUAAUACCGGUUAAUAUUUUGAACCGCAUGGUUCAAAAGUGAAAGACGGUCUUGCUGUCACUUAUAGAUGGAUCCGCGCUGCAUUAGCUAGUUGGUAAGGUAACGGCUUACCAAGGCAACGAUGCAUAGCCGACCUGAGAGGGUGAUCGGCCACACUGGAACUGAGACACGGUCCAGACUCCUACGGGAGGCAGCAGUAGGGAAUCUUCCGCAAUGGGCGAAAGCCUGACGGAGCAACGCCGCGUGAGUGAUGAAGGUCUUCGGAUCGUAAAACUCUGUUAUUAGGGAAGAACAUAUGUGUAAGUAACUGUGCACAUCUUGACGGUACCUAAUCAGAAAGCCACGGCUAACUACGUG